GCAUAUCAAUAAGCGGAGGAAAAGAAACCAACAGGGAUUGCCUCAGUAACGGCGAGUGAAGCGGCAACAGCUCAAAUUUGAAAUCUGGCUCCUUCGGGGUCCGAGUUGUAAUUUGCAGAGGAUGCGUCGGGUACGGGUCCCUACCGAGUUCCCUGGAACGGGACGCCAUAGAGGGUGAGAGCCCCGUCUGGUAGGAUACCCAGCCCAUGUGACGCUCCCUCGACGAGUCGAGUAGUUUGGGAAUGCUGCUCUAACGGGAGGUAUACUCCUUCCAAAGCUAAAUACCGGCUGGAGACCGAUAGCGCACAAGUAGAGUGAUCGAAAGAUGAAAAGCACUUUGAAAAGAGAGUCAAACAGCACGUGAAAUUGUUAAAAGGGAAGCACUCGCUACCAGACUUGGGUUUGGCGGUUCAACCGGGGCCACGCCCCGGGGCAUUCCGCCAGCUCAGGCCAGCAUCAGCUUUCCGUCGGGGGCAAAGACGUCGGGAAUGUGGCUCCCCCUCGGGGGAGUGUUAUAGCCCGGCGUGUCAUACCCUUCGGGGGGCUGAGGUACGCGCUUCUGCAAGGAUGCUGGCGUAAUGGUAGCUAGUGACCCGUCUUGAAACACGGACCAAGGAGUCAACCUUAUGUGCGAGUGCCCGGGCGUAAAACCCCAGCGCGGAAUGAAAGUGAACGUAGGUGAGAGCUUCGGCGCAUCACCGACCGAUCCUGAUGUCCUCGGACGGAUUUGAGUGAGAGCAUAUAGGGUUGGACCCGAAAGAAGAUGAACUAUGCGUGUGUAGGGUGAAGCCAGAGGAAACUCUGGUGGAGGCUCGCAGCGGUUCUGACGUGCAAAUCGAUCGUCAAACAUGCGCAUGGGGGCGAAAGACUAAUCGAAUCUUCUGGUAGCUGGUUUC
rnacentral:rRNA from 2 species